rnacentral:rRNA from 1 species
CGGAGCGGCGGAUGGGUGAGUAACACGUGGGCAACCUGCCCUUUGCACUGGGAUAGCCUCGGGAAACCGAGGUUAAUACCGGAUACUCCAUAUCCAUCGCAUGAUAGAUAUGGGAAAGCUCCGGCGGCAAAGGAUGGGCCCGCGGCCUGUUAGCUAGUUGGUGGGGUAGUGGCCUACCAAGGCAAUGAUGGGUAGCCGGGUUGAGAGACCGACCGGCCAGAUUGGGACUGAGACACGGCCCAGACUCCUACGGGAGGCAGCAGGG